rnacentral:rRNA from 1 species
GGAAGGUCCGGGCGUUAUCCGGAUUUAUUGGGUUUAAAGGGUGCGUAGGCGGAUCGUCAAGUCAGCGGUCAAAAGUCGGGGCUCAACCCCGUGAAGCCGUUGAAACUGGUGGUCUUGAGUACGGUUGAGGCAGGCGGAAUUCGUGGUGUAGCGGUGAAAUGCUUAGAUAUCACGAAGAACCCCGAUUGCGAAGGCAGCCUGCUAAACCGCCACUGACGUUGAGGCUCGAAAGUGUGGGUAUCAAACAGGAUUAGAUACCCUGGUAGUCCACACGGUAAACGAUGGAUACUCGCUGUUGGCGAUAGACUGUCAGCGGCUUAGCGAAAGCGUUAAGUAUCCCACCUGGGGAGU